rnacentral:rRNA from 1 species
UGCCUUCAGGAUGGGGACAACAGACGGAAACGACUGCUAAUACCGAAUAAGUUCCAAGAGCCGCAUGGCCCAUGGAAGAAAAAGGUGGCCUCUACCUGUAAGCUAUCGCCUGAAGAGGGGUUUGCGUCUGAUUAGCUGGUUGGAGGGGUAACGGCCCACCAAGGCGACGAUCAGUAGCCGGUCUGAGAGGAUGAACGGCCACACUGGAACUGAGACACGGUCCAGACUCCUACGGGAGGCAGCAUG